AAUAAGAUUAGUUAAAAAAACUUUGAUUGUAUCAUUUUUAUGUAUAAUAGAAAUCAUAUAAGUAUCAUUAUUUAUUUUUAUACUAUUCCACAUGAUGUUCUUUAUAUUAAUAAAAAAUCAUGUUUUUUAUUGAGAUAUUUCAGAAGUAUUUUGAUUUAAAAGCAUACACGAUACACCUAUAUCCUUUACCAAAACUGCAUCUGGACAUCCAUUACUUUUAUUACUCCUAUAGAAAAAGAUAUGUAAAUAAUUUUUUUAUUAUUUAAUGAAUGAUUAUUUAAGAAUAAAAAUCUUCAACAAAAUUGACAUUUGAUAUUUAUAAGUUUGAUAAAAUAAAAAUUAUAUUAAUAAAAAUGUUGAAUAAUAAAUAAUAAUAUAAUAAAAAUAUUAACCUAUAAUAAGGAAACUGACAGCUAUCAUGAAUCGUAGAAUUACUCAUUUCAUCAGAAAUUGUAUUUUCUGUUACUGAAUGAUUAUGUGAAUCUUUGUUCAUACUGUUAAUGGAAUUGUAAUUCGAUUCAAUAAUCAAAGCAUUUUGUUUAAUUGCAUGUCUUUCUGAUAUUGUGGAAAUAAAACUUUUAGAAGAUUCAUCAGAAAUGGUAGUAUGUUUCUUCAUUUGUGGUAUAAUCUUAAUUGAUGCAUCUCCUGUUUUCGGAGCAAUAAGGACACCCAUCUCAAAAUGAUGAUUGUUAAAUUAUCCAAUGAUUGUUAAAUUAUUUAGAAGUCAUAUUGAUCCAAUAUAAAGUUUGUAUUAAUAUUUGUUAUAAAAAAAUGUAAAAAUUAGAAAAACGAAUUAUAAUAAAAUAUUUUAUAUGUGAUAAUAAAAUAAAAAAUAAUAAAAUGAUAUUAAUUUUAUUACAAAA